GCACAAGCGGUGGAGCAUGUGGUUCAAUUCGAAGCAACGCGCAGAACCUUACCAGCCUUUGACAUCCCGGUCGCGAGCACCAGAGAUGGAGCUCUUCAGUUCGGCUGGACCGGAGACAGGUGCUGCAUGGCUGUCGUCAGCUCGUGUCGUGAGAUGUUGGGUUAAGUCCCGCAACGAGCGCAACCCUCGCCCUUAGUUGCCAUCAUUUAGUUGGGCACUCUAAGGGGACUGCCGGUGAUAAGCCGGAGGAAGGUGGGGAUGACGUCAAGUCCUCAUGGCCCUUACAGGCUGGGCUACACACGUGCUACAAUGGCGGUGACAGAGGGACGCAAAGGAGCAAUCCUUCGCAAAUCUCAAAAAGCCGUCUCAGUUCGGAUUGUGCUCUGCAACUCGAGCACAUGAAGUUGGAAUCGCUAGUAAUCGCAGAUCAGCACGCUGCGGUGAAUACGUUCCCGGGC
rnacentral:rRNA from 1 species